GUGAGGAAUAUUGCGCAAUGGAGGCAACUCUGACGCAGCCAUGCCGCGUGCAGGAAGAAGGCGCUACGCGCUGUAAACUGCUUUUAACCGGGAAGAAACCCCAGGACGUGUCCUGGGUUGACGGUACCGGAGGAAUAAGCACCGGCUAACUUCGUGCCAGCAGCCGCGGUAAUACGAAGGGUGCAAGCGUUAUCCGGAUUCAUUGGGUUUAAAGGGUGCGUAGGCGGAGCGUUAAGUCAGUGGUGAAAUCCUGCAGCUUAACUGUAGACUUGCCAUUGAUACUGGCGCUCUUGAGUGCGCUUGAAGUGGGCGGAAUGUGCCGUGUAGCGGUGAAAUGCUUAGAUAUGGCACAGAACACCAAUUGCGAAGGCAGCUCACUAAGGCGAUACUGACGCUGAGGCACGAAAGCGUGGGGAUCGAACAGGAUUAGAAACCCUUGUAGUCC
rnacentral:rRNA from 1 species